ACGUAGGGUGCGAGCGUUAAUCGGAAUUACUGGGCGUAAAGCGUGCGCAGGCGGUUCGCUAAGACAGGUGUGAAAUCCCCGGGCUUAACCUGGGAAUGGCGCUUGUGACUGGUCAGCUAGAGGACGGUAGAGGGGUGUGGAAUUCCGGGUGUAGUGGUGAAAUGCGUAGAGAUCCGGAGGAACACCAGAGGCGAAGGCGACACCCUGGGCCGUACCUGACGCUAAGACGCGACAGCACGGGGAGCGAACGG
rnacentral:rRNA from 1 species